GCUCAGAGUGAACGCUGGCGGUAGGCCUAACACAUGCAAGUCGAACGGCAGCACAGUAAGAGCUUGCUCUUAUGGGUGGCGAGUGGCGGACGGGUGAGGAAUACAUCGGAAUCUACCUUUUCGUGGGGGAUAACGUAGGGAAACUUACGCUAAUACCGCAUACGACCUUCGGGUGAAAGCAGGGGACCUUCGGGCCUUGCGCGGAUAGAUGAGCCGAUGUCGGAUUAGCUAGUUGGCGGGGUAAAGGCCCACCAAGGCGACGAUCCGUAGCUGGUCUGAGAGGAUGAUCAGCCACACUGGAACUGAGACACGGUCCAGACUCCUACGGGAGGCAGCAGUGGGGAAUAUUGGACAAUGGGCGCAAGCCUGAUCCAGCCAUACCGCGUGGGUGAAGAAGGCCUUCGGGUUGUAAAGCCCUUUUGUUGGGAAAGAAAAGCAAUCGGCUAAUACCCGGUUGUUCUGACGGUACCCAAAGAAUAAGCACCGGCUAACUUCGUGCCAGCAGCCGCGGUAAUACGAAGGGUGCAAGCGUUACUCGGAAUUACUGGGCGUAAAGCGUGCGUAGGUGGUUGUUUAAGUCUGUUGUGAAAGCCCUGGGCUCAACCUGGGAAUUGCAGUGGAUACUGGGCGACUAGAGUGUGGUAGAGGGUAGUGGAAUUCCCGGUGUAGCAGUGAAAUGCGUAGAGAUCGGGAGGAACAUCCAUGGCGAAGGCAGCUACCUGGACCAA
rnacentral:rRNA from 1 species